rnacentral:rRNA from 1 species
UAAACUGGAGGAAGUGGGGAUGACGUCAAAUCAGCACGGCCCUUAUGUCCAGGGCUACACACGUGUUACAAUGGUCGGUACAGAGGGCAGCUACCUGGUGACAGGAUGCUAAUCUCGAAAACCGGCCUCAGUUCGGAUCGAAGUCUGCAACUCGACUUCGUGAAGCUGGAUUCGCUAGUAAUCGCGCAUCCAGCCAUGGCGCGGUGAAUACGUUCCCGGGCCUU